AGAUUUAAAAUGGUAGUAUAUUGCUGAGGAAGCAAAAUUUCCUUUCAUAAAUAAAAUAUUAUUACAAAAGUGGACCCAUGCUGUGAAGAGAGAGAACUUCAAUGUAACAAAAUAUAGUAAAUUAUGUUCAAAGCAUUUUACACCAGAUUCAUUUAUUCCAUCUGUUACAAAUCAUGUUCAAUUAAGAGAAGUAGCAAUACCAUCAAUUUUUAAUUUUCCAAAGCAUCUUCUAAAAAUUUUUCCCAAGCUAAUCAAAAUAUGACUGAAACGAUUAACCUACCACAUUCCAAUACAGAAAACACUCAACUAUAUGCAGUCAAAUUAUCUUCAUCUCAAAUUAUUUCAAAAAAUAUGUUAGGCACUCAAGUUCAGAGAGUAAACAUUUUACUCAACAAAAAAAUAGCAACAAACUUAUAUUCCCAAUAUCAUUUUCAAAAUGUACCAAAAAAUUUAGGCCCUCAGUCAAAAACUAUUC